rnacentral:rRNA from 1 species
UGGGGGAUAUUGCACAAUGGGCGAAAGCCUGAUGCAGCGACGCCGCGUGGGGGAUGAAGGCUUUCGGGUUGUAAACCUCUUUCGCUAUCGAACAAGGCCCGCUUAGGGUGGGUUGAGGGUAGGUGGAGAAGAAGCGCCGGCUAACUACGUGCCAGCAGCCGCGGUAAUACGUAGGGCGCGAGCGUUGUCCGGAAUUAUUGGGCGUAAAGGGCUUGUAGGCGGCUUGUUGCGCCUGCUGUGAAAACGCGGGGCUUAACUUCGCGCGUGCAGUGGGUACGGGAAGGCUUGAGUGUGGUAGGGGUGACUGGAAUUCCAGGUGUAGCGGUGGAAUGCGAAGAUAUCUGGAGGAACACCGAUGGCGAAGGCAGGUCACUGGGCCAUUACUGACGCUGAGGAGCGAAAGCAUGGGUAGCGAACAGG